AUAUUGCACAAUGGGGGAAACCCUGAUGCAGCAACGCCGCGUGAAGGAAGACGGUUUUCGGAUUGUAAACUUCUAUCAAUAGGGAAGAAAGAAAUGACGGUACCUAAAUAAGAAGCUCCGGCUAAAUACGUGCCAGCAGCCGCGGUAAUACGUAUGGAGCAAGCGUUAUCCGGAUUUACUGGGUGUAAAGGGAGCGUAGGCGGUGCUAUAAGUCUGAUGUGAAAGCCCGGGGCUCAACCGCGGGACUGCAUUGGAAACUGUAGGACUGGAGUGUCGGAGGGGUAAGUGGAAUUCCUAGUGUAGCGGUGAAAUGCGUAGAUAUUAGGAGGAACACCGGUGGCGAAGGCGGCUUACUGGACGACAACUGACGCUGAGGCUCGAAAGCGUGGGGAGCAAACA
rnacentral:rRNA from 1 species